CCCGCCGAGGGGCGCUGCAAGCCCGGCCCGCGCAAUGCGGGCAAGGGAUCAGGCUCGGCGAAGGUUCCAAGAGCAACCGCGCCCGUUAACG
rnacentral:ncRNA from 2 species